CACGGACUUCGGUCUGGUGGCGAGUGGCGAACGGGUGAGUAAUAUAUCGGAACAUACCCAGUAGUGGGGGAUAACUAUCCGAAAGGAUAGCUAAUACCGCAUACGAUCUGUGGAUGAAAGCAGGGGAUCUUCGGACCUUGUGCUAUUGGAAUGGCCGAUAUCUGAUUAGCUAGUUGGUAGGGUAAAAGCCUACCAAGGCGACGAUCAGUAGCUGGUCUGAGAGGACGACCAGCCACACUGGAACUGAGACACGGUCCAGACUCCUACGGGAGGCAGCAGUGGGGAAUUUUGGACAAUGGGGGCAACCCUGAUCCAGCAAUGCCGCGUGAGUGAAGAAGGCCCUCGGGUUGUAAAGCUCUUUUGUCAGGGAAGAAACGGAGUUCUCUAAUAUAGGAUUCUAAUGACGGUACCUGAAGAAUAAGCACCGGCUAACUACGUGCCAGCAGCCGCGGUAAUACGUAGGGUGCAAGCGUUAAUCGGAAUUACUGGGCGUAAAGCGUGCGCAGGCGGUUUUGUAAGUCUGAUGUGAAAUCCCCGGGCUCAACCUGGGAACUGCAUUGGAGACUGCAAGGUUAG
rnacentral:rRNA from 1 species